rnacentral:lncRNA from 1 species
GUUAACAAGUCAGUGUUAAGUGUGCCUGGACUGAAUUCAUUCAUUCAUUCAACACAUAUUUAUGGAGGACUGAUCAUGUGCUAGACAAUAUACUGGGUGUGGGAUACAGUGAAAUCAAAUCCUUGCCCUCAUGAAGUUGACAUUCUACUGACAGAGGACAUUCAAGCAAUACAUGAACUGAGGUCGCAAGACAACAAACUGGUCCUAAAUAAAAAGUAAGAAAAAUGCCGGGGAGGAGCCAAGAUGGCCGAAUAGGAACAGCUCCGGUCUACAGCUCCCAGCAUGAGCGACGCAGAAGACGGGUGAUUUCUGCAUUUCCAUCUGAGGUACCUGGUUCAUCUCACUAGGGAGUGCCAGACAGUGGGCACAGG